AACGAACGCUGGCGGCAUGCCUAACACAUGCAAGUCGAACGAGACCUUCGGGUCUAGUGGCGCACGGGUGCGUAACGCGUGGGAACCUGCCCUUAGGUUCGGAAUAACUCUCCGAAAGGGGUGCUAAUACCGGAUAAUGUCUUCGGACCAAAGAUUUAUCGCCUAUGGGUGGGCCCGCGUUGGAUUAGCUUGUUGGUAGGGUAAAAGCCUAGCAAGGCGACGAUCCAUAGCUGGGCUGAGAGGAGGAUCAGCAACACUGGGACUGAGACACGGCCCAGACUCCUACGGGAGGGAGCAGGGGGGAAGAUGGGACGAUGGGCGAGUGCCUGAUCCAGCCAGGCCGCGUGAGUGAUGAAGGCGUUAGGGUUGUAUGGCUCUGUUACCCGGGAUGAUAAUGACAGUACCGGGAAGAUAGGCUCCGGCUAACUCCGU
rnacentral:rRNA from 1 species